GAUGAACGCUGGCGGCGUGCCUAAUACAUGCAAGUCGAACGAAACUUCUUUAUCACCGAGUGCUUGCACUCACCGAUAAAGAGUUGAGUGGCGAACGGGUGAGUAACACGUGGGCAACCUGCCCAAAAGAGGGGGAUAACACUUGGAAACAGGUGCUAAUACCGCAUAACCAUAGUUACCGCAUGGUAACUAUGUAAAAGGUGGCUAUACUACCGCUUUUGGAUGGGCCCGCGGCGCAUUAGCUAGUUGGUAGGGUAAAGGCUUACCAAGGCACUGAUGCGUAGCCGAAGUGAGAGGUUGAUCGGCCACAUUGGGACUGAGACACGGCCCAAACUCCUACGGGAGGAAGCAGUAGGGAAUCUUCCACAAUGGGCGAAAGCCUGAUGGAGCAACGCCGCGUGAGUGAAGAAGGUCUUCGGAUCGUAAAACCCUGUUGUUAGUGAAGAAAGUGCGUGAGAGUAACUGUUCACGUUUCGACGGUAUCUAACCAGAAAGCCACUGCUAACUACGUG
rnacentral:rRNA from 1 species